CGAAUUCCUCCCACAUCUGAAAAACCUUGACCACCUCUCAUCGCCACUGCCGCCUUCGCCGCGCCGGCCACCGCUUUCACCGCACCGCCAUUUGCCAACCUCCAUUUCCCUCUUCCCCGCGAUUCUGCGAUCUGCCACCUCCUUUCGAAUCGACUCGCCAAGAAUCUAAAAAUCAUCAAAACCCGUCGCCCCCAUCGCAAUUCGCCACAACUCCCAUUGCCGCCUUCGACUGUCACAGUCGCGAUUCGAUCUGCCCCUUCCACCUUCUCCGAUGCCAUCGAUCUUCUCCGAUGCCAGCGAUAUUUCCAUCCCCCGGCGAUCUGCCCUCCCGGUGAUUCCACCCACCGGCCGCAGCCUCGAUGAGAUCUGCCCCUUCCACCUUUUUCGAUGCCACCUCCAUUUCCAUCCCCCCGAUGAUCUGCUCUCCCGGCUUCCCCCCUAUCUACAGAAUCCGGCGGUCGCCAAUGCCUCAAGACC
rnacentral:lncRNA from 1 species